AACGAACGCUGGCGGCAUGCCUAACACAUGCAAGUCGAACGAUCCCUUCGGGGAUAGUGGCGCACGGGUGUGUAACGCGUGGGAACCUGCCCUUAGGUUCGGAAUAACUCAGAGAAAUUUGAGCUAAUACCGGAUAAUGUCUUCGGACCAAAGAUUUAUCGCCUUUGGAUGGGCCCGCGUUGGAUUAGCUAGUUGGUGGGGUAAAGGCCUACCAAGGCGACGAUCCAUAGCUGGUCUGAGAGGAUGAUCAGCCACACUGGGACUGAGACACGGCCCAGACUCCUACGGGAGGCAGCAGUGGGGAAUAUUGGACAAUGGGCGAAAGCCUGAUCCAGCAAUGCCGCGUGAGUUAUGAAGGCCUUAGGGUUGUAAAGCUCUUUUACCCGGGAUGAUAAUGACAGUACCGGGAGAAUAAGCCCCGGCUAACUCCGUG
rnacentral:rRNA from 1 species